GAUGAACGCUGGCGGCGUGCCUAAUACAUGCAAGUCGAGCGAACAGACGAGGAGCUUGCUCCUCUGACGUUAGCGGCGGACGGGUGAGUAACACGUGGAUAACCUACCUAUAAGACUGGGAUAACUUCGGGAAACCGGAGCUAAUACCGGAUAACAUGUUGAACCGCAUGGUUCAACAGUGAAAGACGGUUUUGCUGUCACUUAUAGAUGGAUCCGCGUCGCAUUAGCUAGUUGGUAAGGUAACGGCUUACCAAGGCAACGAUGCGUAGCCGACCUGAGAGGGUGAUCGGCCACACUGGAACUGAGACACGGUCCAGACUCCUACGGGAGGCAGCAGUAGGGAAUCUUCCGCUAUGGGCGAAAGCCUGACGGAGCAACGCCGCGUGAGUGAAGAAGGUCUUCGGAUCGUAAAACUCUGUUAUUAGGGAAGAACAAAUGUGUAAGUAACUAUGCACGUCUUGACGGUACCUAAUCAGAAAGCCACGGCUAACUACGUG
rnacentral:rRNA from 1 species